rnacentral:lncRNA from 1 species
UUUAAUGGACUUCUAUGUUCAUUUCUCAUCCCUUUUCGCAUGCGAAUGAAUAUUUUCUACCUUGACCUCUCUUUUUGUGUAGGAGGUCUGAUAAUAUGAGUUUUUCCUUCUUUCUUUUCCUGUGUAACUUUUACUGCGAGGUGUUUGCUUUCUGUCUGGAUUUUCAAAGUCAUAAUAGUCAAUGUUUUCCUGUAUAUCUCAGCAAUUUGCCUUCAGAUGCUCUGCUCCUGUUUCAAUUGUUU